AUUGAACGCUGGCGGCAUGCCUUACACAUGCAAGUCGAACGGCAGCACGGGGCAACCUGGUGGCGAGUGGCGAACGGGUGAGUAAUGCAUCGGAACGUACCUUUCAGUGGGGGAUAACGUAGCGAAAGCUACGCUAAUACCGCAUAUUCUGUGAGCAGGAAAGCAGGGGAUCGCAAGACCUUGCGCUGAUUGAGCGGCCGAUGUCAGAUUAGCUAGUUGGUGAGGUAAAGGCUCACCAAGGCGACGAUCUGUAGCGGGUCUGAGAGGAUGAUCCGCCACACUGGAACUGAGACACGGUCCAGACGCCGACGGGAGGCAGCAGUGGGGAAUUUUGGACAAUGGGGGCAACCCUGAUUCAGCCAUGCCGCGUGAGUGAAGAAGGCCUUCGGGUUGUGAAGCUCUUUCGGCCGGGAAGAAAUCGCACGGGCUAAUACCCUGUGUGGAUGACGGUACCGGAAUAAGAAGCACCGGCUAACUACGUGCCAGCCGCCGCGGUAAUAC
rnacentral:rRNA from 1 species